rnacentral:rRNA from 1 species
CAGCGGAGGGAUCAUUACCGAGUUUACAACUCCCAAACCCCUGUGAACAUACCAAUUGUUGCCUCGGCGGAUCAGCCCGCUCCCGGUAAAACGGGACGGCCCGCCAGAGGACCCCUAAACUCUGUUUCUAUAUGUAACUUCUGAGUAAAACCAUAAAUAAAUCAAAACUUUCAACAACGGAUCUCUUGGUUCUGGCAUCGAUGAAGAACGCAGCAAAAUGCGAUAAGUAAUGUGAAUUGCAGAAUUCAGUGAAUCAUCGAAUCUUUGAACGCACAUUGCGCCCGCCAGUAUUCUGGCGGGCAUGCCUGUUCGAGCGUCAUUUCAACCCUCAAGCCCCCGGGUUUGGUGUUGGGGAUCGGCGAGCCCUUGCGGCAAGCCGGCCCCGAAAUCUAGUGGCGGUCUCGCUGCAGCUUCCAUUGCGUAGUAGUAAAACCCUCGCAACUGGUACGCGGCGCGGCCAAGCCGUUAAACCCCCAACUUCUGAAUGUUGACCUCGGAUCAGGUAGGAAUACCCGCUGAACUUAAGCAUAUCAAUAAGCG